UUUGGGAAGCUAUGCCCCCUCCAAAGAGGUCACUGCCUAUCAGGAAGUUCUUUGUUUCUCUGACUCUGCUGAUCAAAGUGUUUUGAUUUUAAAAUGGCUGAGUCUGUCUUUACUGCAAAGCGCUGCGGGCUGAAAGCGGCUGCAGUUUCCUCUACAGAGAGUGAAAGGGACAGAAAAGCUCCCAGGUUCACCCGUCAGCCUCUGGGCUUCCCGUCCUGAGACAGAUAUGUCCCCCAACUCUCCCAAGGGCCAUUGGGCAACGGACUUGUGAUUUGGGCCUCAAGUGCCAAUCAAGAACUCGGUCCAAGGCUUUCUCUGUCCCGGUCUCUUCCUGAAGCCAUUUGUGGAGUCAAGCAAUCAUGGAUGUAAAACACUCUGAAAACAAUCCCAGAAUGUCUGCACUGAGAGCCAAGAAGGUGGAAGAAUACUUAAAACACAACCUACCCCCCAAAAAUAUGCUAACUUUUUUACUUGGUAGACAACUGGGGAGACACAAGAAUGAUGAGGACCUGACAAAGUGGCUGUGGGCAUUGACAAUGGAAACCCCUGGGUGGAGUUGGCCUUUGCCAAAACACCAUGUAUAUUACUCAUCUGUGUUCUCUGGGGAUUAUGAAAAAUCCAAGAAAAUGGUGUGGAUAAACAAAUACCUCCCCUGAUGGAACUAUUAAAAUUGAAACUGUUUUCACUUC